UGGUGGCUUAAACCUAGCUGUCCACAUUUCACUAUCUGAAGAGCAGAAAAUGUGUUAACAGAAGCCUGGUGAGCAUAGGAGACUGAAGAUGGAGAGAGAGCCUGGACCUCAACAUGAGCAUUUGGAGCCAUUUGGCAGCAUUAGGCUGUGACCACUUGGAGAACCGAAAGCAAGAAGGCCCUGGGCAGAUGUUGUCAUCGUGAUACUGGACUUCCCCGCCUCCAGAACUGCAGAAAUCCAGAAGCAGUCCAGCAUCUUCCUCACUUCUCCAGGAUUAUCUCCCACUGUUUCCUAUUUCAC